rnacentral:ncRNA from 2 species
AUGCAAUGCGGUGAUGGAGUCCACCUUUAACCGCCGGAAAUGGCUGAUGACUCCUACCAGGAU